rnacentral:rRNA from 1 species
CAGCCAUGCCGCGUGUAUGAAGAAGGCCUUCGGGUUGUAAAGUACUUUCAGCAGUGAGGAAGGCGGGUACGUUAAUAGCGUGCUCGUUUGACGUUAGCUGCAGAAGAAGCACCGGCUAACUCCGUGCCAGCAGCCGCGGUAAUACGGAGGGUGCGAGCGUUAAUCGGAAUUACUGGGCGUAAAGCGCAUGCAGGUGGUUUGUUAAGUCAGAUGUGAAAGCCCGGGGCUCAACCUCGGAAUUGCAUUUGAAACUGGCAGACUAGAGUACUGUAGAGGGGGGUAGAAUUUCAGGUGUAGCGGUGAAAUGCGUAGAGAUCUGAAGGAAUACCGGUGGCGAAGGCGGCCCCCUGGACAGAUACUGACACUCAGAUGCGAAAGCGUGGGGAGCAAACAGGAUUAGAUACCCUGGUAGUCCACGCCGUAAACGAUGUCUACUUGGAGGUUGUGGCCUUGAGCCGUGGCUUUCGGAGCUAACGCGUUAAGUAGACCGCCUGG